rnacentral:rRNA from 1 species
GACGAACGCUGGCGGCGUGCUUAACACAUGCAAGUCGAGCGAUGAAAUUCCUUCGGGAAUGAAUUAGCGGCGGACGGGUGAGUAACACGUGGGUAACCUGCCUCGUAGAAGGGAAUAGCCUUCCGAAAGGAAGAUUAAUACCGCAUAAGAUUGUAGUAUCGCAUGAUAUAGCAAUUAAAGGAGCAAUCCGCUAUGAGAUGGACCCGCGUCGCAUUAGCUAGUUGGUGAGGUAACGGCUCACCAAGGCGACGAUGCGUAGCCGACCUGAGAGGGUGAUCGGCCACAUUGGGACUGAGACACGGCCCAGACUCCUACGGGAGGCAGCAGUGGGGAAUAUUGCACAAUGGGGGAAACCCUGAUGCAGCAACGCCGCGUGAGUGAUGACGGUCUUCGGAUUGUAAAACUCUGUCUUCAGGGGCGAUAAUGACGGUACCUGAGGAGGAAGCCACGGCUAACUACGUGCCAGCAGCCGCCGUAAGAC